rnacentral:rRNA from 1 species
CGGGAGGCAGCAGUCGGGAAUUUUGGGCAAUGGGCGAAAGCUGACCCAGCAACGCCGCGUGAAGGAUGAAAUCCCUCGGGAUGUAAACUUCGCAAGAACAGGAAGAAUAAGUGGGAGUUAAUAUCUCUCACGAUGACGGUACUGUUUGUAAGCUCCGGCUAACUCCGUGCCAGCAGCCGCGGUAAUACGGGGGGAGCAAGCGUUGUUCGGAUUACUGGGCGUAAAGGGCGCGUAGGCGGCCACCGCAAGUCGACUGUGAAAUCUCUGGGCUUAACCCAGAACGGUCAGCCGAUACUGCGGGGCUAGAGUGCAGAAGGGGCAACUGGAAUUCUCGGUGUAGCGGUGAAAUGCGUAGAUAUCGAGAGGAACACCUGCGGCGAAGGCGGGUUGCUGGGCUGACACUGACGCUGAGGCGCGAAAGCUAGGGGAGCGAACGGGAUUAGAUACCCCGGUAGUCCUAGCCUUAAACGAUGAAUGCUUGGUGUCUGGGGUUUUAUAGUCCCCGGGUGCCGUCGCUAACGCUUUAAGCAUUCCGCCUGGGGAGUACGGUCGCAAGACUGAAACUCAAAGGAAUUGACGGGGACCCCACAGCGGUGGAGCAUGUGGUUUAAUUCGACGCAACGCGAAGAACCUACCUGGGCUAGAAGCCUCUACGGCGUAGAGAUACGCCUUCCUGGGUAAAACCAGGCAGAGUGCAAGGUGCUGCAUGGCUGUCGUCAGCUCGUGUCGUGAGAUGUUGGGUUAAGUCCCGCAACGAGCGCAACCCUUAUCAAUAGUUGCCAGCGGUUCGGCCGGGCACUCUAUUGAGACUGCCGUUGACAAAACGGAGGAAGGUGGGGAUGACGUCAAGUCCUCAUGGCCUUUAUGUCCAGGGCUACACACGUGCUACAAUGGCGAGUACAAAGCGCUGCAAACCUGCAAAGGGGAGCCAAUCGCAAAAAGCUCGUCUCAGUUCGGAUUGGAGUCUGCAACUCGACUCCAUGAAGCGGAAUCGCUAGUAAUCGCAGAUCAGCAUGCUGCGGUGAAUACGUUCCCGGGCCUUG